GUGGGGAAUCUUGCGCAAUGGGCGAAAGCCUGACGCAGCCAUGCCGCGUGGAUGAUGAAGGUCUUAGGAUUGUAAAAUCCUUUCACCGGUGAAGAUAAUGACUGUAGCCGGAGAAGAAGCCCCGGCUAACUUCGUGCCAGCAGCCGCGGUAAUACGAAGGGGGCUAGCGUUGCUCGGAUUUACUGGGCGUGAAGGGCGCGUAGGCGGACAUUUAAGUCAGGGGUGAAAUCCCGGUGCUCAACCUCGGAACUGCCUUUGAUACUGGGUGUCUUGAGUAUGAGAGAGGUGUGUGGAACUCCGAGUGUAGAGGUGAAAUUCGUAGAUAUUCGGAGGAACACCAGUGGCGAAGGCGGCUCACUGGUCCAUUACUGACGCUGAGGUGCGAAAGCGUGGGGAGCAAACAGGAUUAGAUACCCGAGUAGUCC
rnacentral:rRNA from 1 species